UCCUGACCUCGGAUCAGACGUGAAUACCCGCUGAACUUAAGC
rnacentral:rRNA from 1 species